rnacentral:rRNA from 1 species
UGGGGAAUUUUGGACAAUGGGGGAAACCCUGAUCCAGCCAUCCCGCGUGUGCGAUGAAGGCCUUCGGGUUGUAAAGCACUUUUUGCAGGAAAGAAACGUCAUGGGUUAAUACCCCGUGAAACUGACGGUACCUGCAGAAUAAGCACCGGCUAACUACGUGCCAGCAGCCGCGGUAAUACGUAGGGUGCAAGCGUUAAUCGGAAUUACUGGGCGUAAAGCGUGCGCAGGCGGUUCGGAAAGAAAGAUGUGAAAUCCCAGAGCUCAACUUUGGAACUGCAUUUUUAACUACCGGGCUAGAGUGUGUCAGAGGGAGGUGGAAUUCCGCGUGUAGCAGUGAAAUGCGUAGAUAUGCGGAGGAACACCGAUGGCGAAGGCAGCCUCCGGGGAUAACACUGACGCUCAUGCACGAAAGCGUGGGGAGCAAACAGG